UUUAAUUUAAGAGUUUGAUCAUGGCUCAGAUUGAACGCUGGCGGCAGGCUUAACACAUGCAAGUCGAGCGGUAGCACAGGGGAGCUUGCUCCCUGGGUGACGAGCGGCGGACGGGUGAGUAAUGUCUGGGAAACUGCCUGAUGGAGGGGGAUAACUACUGGAAACGGUAGCUAAUACCGCAUAACGUCGCAAGACCAAAGAGGGGGACCUUCGGGCCUCUUGCCAUCAGAUGUGCCCAGAUGGGAUUAGCUAGUAGGUGGGGUAAUGGCUCACCUAGGCGACGAUCCCUAGCUGGUCUGAGAGGAUGACCAGCCACACUGGAACUGAGACACGGUCCAGACUCCUACGGGAGGCAGCAGUGGGGAAUAUUGCACAAUGGGCGCAAGCCUGAUGCAGCCAUGCCGCGUGUGUGAAGAAGGCCUUCGGGUUGUAAAGCACUUUCAGCGAGGAGGAAGGUGGUGAGCUUAAUACGCUCAUCAAUUGACGUUACUCGCAGAAGAAGCACCGGCUAACUCCGUGCCAGCAGCCGCGGUAAUACGGAGGGUGCAAGCGUUAAUCGGAAUUACUGGGCGUAAAGCGCACGCAGGCGGUUUGUUAAGUCAGAUGUGAAAUCCCCGGGCUCAACCUGGGAACUGCAUUUGAAACUGGCAAGCUAGAGUCUCGUAGAGGGGGGUAGAAUUCCAGGUGUAGCGGUGAAAUGCGUAGAGAUCUGGAGGAAUACCGGUGGCGAAGGCGGCCCCCUGGACGAAGACUGACGCUCAGGUGCGAAAGCGUGGGGAGCAAACAGGAUUAGAUACCCUGGUAGUCCACGCUGUAAACGAUGUCGAUUUGGAGGUUGUGCCCUUGAGGCGUGGCUUCCGGAGCUAACGCGUUAAAUCGACCGCCUGGGGAGUACGGCCGCAAGGUUAAAACUCAAAUGAAUUGACGGGGGCCCGCACAAGCGGUGGAGCAUGUGGUUUAAUUCGAUGCAACGCGAAGAACCUUACCUACUCUUGACAUCCAGAGAACUUUCCAGAGAUGGAUUGGUGCCUUCGGGAACUCUGAGACAGGUGCUGCAUGGCUGUCGUCAGCUCGUGUUGUGAAAUGUUGGGUUAAGUCCCGCAACGAGCGCAACCCUUAUCCUUUGUUGCCAGCGGUUCGGCCGGGAACUCAAAGGAGACUGCCAGUGAUAAACUGGAGGAAGGUGGGGAUGACGUCAAGUCAUCAUGGCCCUUACGAGUAGGGCUACACACGUGCUACAAUGGCAUAUACAAAGAGAAGCGACCUCGCGAGAGCAAGCGGACCUCAUAAAGUAUGUCGUAGUCCGGAUUGGAGUCUGCAACUCGACUCCAUGAAGUCGGAAUCGCUAGUAAUCGUAGAUCAGAAUGCUACGGUGAAUACGUUCCCGGGCCUUGUACACACCGCCCGUCACACCAUGGGAGUGGGUUGCAAAAGAAGUAGGUAGCUUAACCUUCGGGAGGGCGCUUACCACUUUGUGAUUCAUGACUGGGGUGAAGUCGUAACAAGGUAACCGUAGGGGAACCUGCGGUUGGAUCACCUCCUUACCUAAAGA
rnacentral:rRNA from 1 species